AUGUCUUCUCAUUCUUCAAAUUUGUCCUCUCUUAAAUCACUUGAUUUUCCUGUUCAUGUACUCACUGCUGAUGGUACUCCUCUUUCUGUUGCUAGUCGAGGCAAUCUUACCACACCUUCUUACUCUAUUCCUGAUGUUGCUCAUGUUCCUCGACUUAUCAUGAAUCUUUUUUCUGCCGGUCAACUUACUGAUUCUGGUUGUCGCGUCAUCCUUGACGUUGACUCUUGUUCUGUUCAGGAUUGUCGAACGCACACUUUGGUUGGGGCUGGCCCUCGCCGCCGUGACUCUCAGGGUCUUUGGGAGCUAGACUGGCUUCAUGUUCCUUUUGCUGCCACCACUAUCGCCAGUCCCAUCCGCUUCUGUCACUUCAGCUACCGGCUCCUUCCAGCAGUGGCAUCAUCGACUUGGUCAUCUUUGUGGGUCUCGCUUGUCAUCAUUAGUUCGUCGAGGUCUUCUGGGGUCUGUCUCAGGAGAUGUCUCUUUAGAGUGUUAGGGCUGUAG
rnacentral:rRNA from 1 species